rnacentral:rRNA from 1 species
CAAUAGCGUAUAUUAAAGUUGUUGCAGUUAAAAAGCUCGUAGUUGGAUUUCAGGGUGGCCUGCCUGGUCCACCGCAAGGUGAGUACUGGUCAGCCGCCCUUCCUCUCGAAAGCCCCGACUGCUCUUCAUUGCAGUGGUCGGGUAGUUCGGGACGUUUACUUUGAAAAAAUUAGAGUGUUCAAGGCAGGCUAUCGCCUGAAUACAUUAGCAUGGAAUAAUGGAAGAGGACCUCGGUCCUAUUUUGUUGGUUUCUAGGGCCGAAGUAAUGAUUAAGAGGGACAGUUGGGGGCAUUCGUAUUUAAUUGUCAGAGGUGAAAUUCUUGGAUUUAUGAAAGACGAACUAGUGCGAAAGCAUUUGCCAAGGAUGUUUUCAUUAA